rnacentral:rRNA from 1 species
UACUAGAGUAGCACUCGCAUAUCAAUAAGCGGAGGAAAAGAAACUAACAAGGAUUCCCCUAGUAACGGCGAGUGAAGCGGGAAGAGCUCAAAUUUGAAAUCUUAAAGGGUUUCCCUCUACGAAUUGUAGUUUAAAGAAGUGUUUUCUGUUGAGGUUUUGGUAAAAGUUCUUUGGAAUAGGACAUCAUAGAGGGUGAGAAUCCCGUAUUUGACCUUUACUUUCAACUUUGUGAUACACUUUCAAAGAGUCGGAUUGUUUGGGAAUGCAGUCCAAAAUGGGUGGUAAAUUUCAUCUAAAGCUAAAUAUUGGCGAGAGACCGAUAGCGAACAAGUACCGUGAGGGAAAGAUGAAAAGAACUUUGAAAAGAGAGUUAAACAGUACGUGAAAUUGUCGAAAGGGAAGCGUUUGACACCAGUGUUGUUUUUCUGAAAAUCAAUUAAAGAACUGUUUAUGCUAAGCUGUUUAGACUUUAUCAGCUAUCUGUUUAGUUUUGAGCUUUUCUUUAAUGCACUUUUCAGUUAACAAGUCAACAUCAAUUUCUUUUGCUGUAAAAAAGCUUGAGGAAGGUGGCUUGAGAUUCGUCUUAAGUGUUUAUAGCCUCUUGCCUAUGCAGUCGGAGAGAUUGAGGUCUGCAGCGUAGAUCCUUCGGGGCUAAAUGCAUUUGUGCUAAGUUAUAGCAUUUUAUAGACAACUUGUUGACUAUGAUUUGUCUUGUAGCUUACUCGCUUAUGUUAUUUUACCUACGCUUAGGAUGUUGAGCGCAUGUCUCUCUCU